GGAAACUGAGGCACAGAUGUGAAGUGAUUCAUCCUAAACCACAGUGGGAGUUGGUGUCAGAGGUGUCAGAUGAUACUUCAGGACCUCUUGGCUGCCAGUCCUGCAUUCAGGCCACUAGAUCUUAUUUUCCCAGUGUUAUGCUACAUCCUGGAUCAGGAGAGUGUGGACUACAGGGGUCCUUCUCAAACUGCGUGUUCAAGAAAAUCAAAUAAAAUGGAAUCUCAUGUGAGGAGGCAGAGAAUGACCCCUGAAGAACUGAAUUUUUGCCACACCCCUUGCUAAUCAAUAGACACUUCCUUAUUCAAUACCUCUGUCAGCAGAGAAGGGGUCCCCACACAUUCUUGUUGGAGCCACUAUAUGUUUCUCCCCUCCCUUUACACUUUGCAGCUGCCUUCAUACUCCCCAACACUUAUUCCUGCAGCAAGGCUAUGACACUGAUUCAAGAGCCAACCAGACAGAAGACUACUUAGCUGAUGAGAUCUGACAGCAUCGCAGCCCAAUCGGCUAUGGCUAGAGGCUAAACUGCACUCUUCUUCUGGAAAGCGUGCCAUCAUUUUCAUCUGCAGCUGUAACGUUGUUUUUGCAGCCUCUAGCUUAUAUAGAUAUUGCAAAGGAAAACAGUUUCGUAUCCUCCUCCACAAACAGCGGGAAAAGAUCUUUCCUUUGGCUUAACUGGGUGUUUAGUAGAACCGGCUUAGCAUCACAGACUGAACAGUUAAUGAGAGUUAAUGAGAGUAUUGUACAAGUUUAGUGCAUAGUUACAAUGUUAUUACAGCAUUGUUAACACAGCCCGUUUUCUUAUCCUGUGGAAUGAAGUCAUAUUGAGGCCCAAGAACAAAUCUUAAAGGACAGAUAAUGUGAAAAUGUAAAGCCCCCAUAUUCAAUCCAAUAGAAGAUAUGAUAGAAUCCACACCACUGUGGUUUCACUUAGAUGCAAUAUUCCUUUUUCUUGUCCUAGACAGUUGUGCACUGUUGCUGUGAUCUGUUAAAUGGCUGCUAUGCUCCACCCCAGAAAUGGCUGCAUUUAUGUAGAAUGUGAGCCAAUGUAUUCACAGAAAAAGAUGCAAUUCCUACCCCAAAGAGAGUACAAUCUAAAUAGUGUACAGCUUCAUUAGUGGCUUUCUUAAUGGUGUUCCUUUAGCUUGCUCCCUACAUGACAGCCUUUCAACUGGCUAACGCGAAACAGUAAAAAUUGUAAAGUGCAUAGGUAUCUUUUGCAGUGAAGGGUGUUAUUGAAAUAUAAUACUGUAGUGCCCAACAUGGUAGAGCCUGGCUCUUUGAUUUUGCAGUACCCAAUACAAUACAGGUAUCCGCUACCAUAAUACAACUACUACUACUAAUUAAAUACAUAAACUUCGGAAAAUAGCUAUAUAAUUGUCUCUUUCUACCACCUACUGGACAUAAUGGGAAACUGCAGGACCGUGCUGUUAGAUACACUUUAUUGCCCUCUGCAGACAUCUCCUAGGAAAACAGCUCACUUAUGGGUAAGGUUAAGAUUUUGUCACAGUUAUUUUUAGUAAAAGGAACCUGAAAGGUCACAAGCAAUAAAC